GGGAAAGACUGGCCUGUAGGCGCGGUAAUAGGUGGGUGGGAAGCGGUGUCCGGAAGUAUUGGGCGUAAGAGGGGGGGAGGCGGUCCUGUAAGGCUGAGGGUAAAGCCCACGGCUCAAACGGUGGGGGUCAGUGGAAACGGGGGGACUUGAGUGGAAAAGAGGAAAGCGGAAUUCCACGUGUAGCGGUGAAAUGCGUAGAGAUGUGGAGGAACACCAGUGGCGAAGGCGGCUUUCUGGUCUGUAACUGACGCUGAGGCGCGAAAGCGUGGGGAGCAAACAGGAUUAGAUACCCGUGUAGUC
rnacentral:rRNA from 1 species